UCCUUGGUGCACUAGUGGUUAGCAUGUGGCGUUCUCAUCACCGCAGCCCGGGUUCGAUUCCUGGCCAGGGAA